UUCAAAAAGAAUCGCUACUUUUUCAAAAAAGAAUAGCUACUUUUCCCAAAAAGAAUCGCUACUUUUAAUUGCUACUUUUUCAAAAAAGAAUAAAAGUUCUUUCAGGAGGAGGAGGAGGAGGAUGAGGAUGAGGGGCAAGGAGACAAGGAGUCUUAGAUGAAAUUCGUGCCACUAGCUGACCAUGUCGUUGUCCAUGGUAUGACUAUGAGGGAGGCUGGGCAAUGAGUUCAGCCAAACUUAAGUUGCUUCACCAUCGCCUCGAUCAUGAGAACCUUCGGGGAGGAAAAUAGGACACAGAGACGAUGGAAUGGAAGAAGCCUGACUAGACAUUUCAGUUGAUGUGUGCCAGGGGUGGAUCAGGCAUGCAAGAGGAUUUUCCCCCCGCUGCCUGGAUAGGACCAAUAUAGCCUGUGAUGCUGACGAGAUUCUCUGGCCUGUCCCAGACCAAAGAUGUGAUGCUGGGGCAGAAUAUUUUUUGUUGUUGUUUGGUGUAUUGUACUGUAUAGUACAUUAAGGAAUAAAAAAUGUGCAAGUGUA